rnacentral:tRNA from 1 species
GCCCGGGCGGCUCAGUCGGUUGAGCGUCCGACUUCCGCUCAGGUCACGAUCUCACAGUUUGUGGGUUCAAGCCCCGCAUCGGGCU